rnacentral:rRNA from 1 species
GAUGAACGCUGGCGGCGUGCUUAACACAUGCAAGUCGAACGGUGAACGAGGGAGCUUGCUCCCUCCGGAUCAGUGGCGAACGGGUGAGUAACACGUGAGCAAUCUGCCCUGGACUCUGGGAUAAGCGUUGGAAACGACGUCUAAUACCGGAUACGAGACGCGAAGGCAUCUUCAGCGUCUGGAAAGAACUUCGGUCCAGGAUGAGCUCGCGGCCUAUCAGGUAGUUGGUGAGGUAACGGCUCACCAAGCCUACGACGGGUAGCCGGCCUGAGAGGGUGACCGGCCACACUGGGACUGAGACACGGCCCAGACUCCUACGGGAGGCAGCAGUGGGGAAUAUUGGACAAUGGGCGGAAGCCUGAUCCAGCAACGCCGCGUGAGGGAUGACGGCCUUCGGGUUGUAAACCUCUUUCAGCACCGACGAAGCGCAAAGUGACGGUAGGUGCAGAAGAAGGACCGGCCAACUACGUGCCAGCAGCCGCGGUAACAC